rnacentral:rRNA from 1 species
UACGGGAGGCAGCAGUAGGGAAUCUUCGGCAAUGGGGGCAACCCUGACCGAGCAACGCCGCGUGAGUGAAGAAGGUUUUCGGAUCGUAAAGCUCUGUUGUAAGUCAAGAACGGGUGUGAGAGUGGAAAGUUCACACUGUGACGGUAGC